AACUGAUAAAGGCAAACUUGUUGAAAGACAAGGACGCAAAGCCACGGGUCUAAAGCGGUAUACCGCUAUGAUGGCCGGGUUGCCGGA
rnacentral:ncRNA from 1 species